rnacentral:rRNA from 1 species
UACAGAGGGGGCGAGCGUUAUUCGGAAUUAUUGGGCGUAAAGGGCGCGUAGGCGGCUUGACAAGUCCCGGGUGAAAUCCCUCGGCUCAACCGAGGAACUGCCUUGGAAACUGUCUGGCUCGAGGCCGGGAGAGGGUAGUGGAAUUCCCAGUGUAGCGGUGAAAUGCGUAGAUAUUGGGAGGAACACCUGUGGCGAAGGCGGCUACCUGGACCGGAUCUGACGCUGAUGCGCGAAAGCGUGGGGAGCAAACAGG